UACGUAGGGUGCGAGCGUUAAUCGGAAUUACUGGGCGUAAAGCGUGCGCAGGCGGUGAUGUAAGACAGGUGUGAAAUCCCCGGGCUUAACCUGGGAACUGCAUUUGUGACUGCAUCGCUGGAGUGCGGCAGAGGGGGAUGGAAUUCCGCGUGUAGCAGUGAAAUGCGUAGAUAUGCUGAGGAACACCGAUGGCGAAGGCAAUCCCCUGGGCCUGCACUGACGCUCAUGCACGAAAGCGUGGGGAGCAAACAGG
rnacentral:rRNA from 1 species